UUAACUUAAAUGUGUAUGGAGUUGAAAAGUUUGCCUACGUUUGCCGUUAGGGGCGCUGUUCCAACUGCAUACAAAAUGAGUUG
rnacentral:pre_miRNA from 1 species